AGAGUCAUUCUCUUUAUAUAAACACCGACUCUUCACAUUCACAUUAAUUUCGCAUAAACACAGAAGCUUAACAUUCAUAUUCAAAUACAAACACUCCAAUAGGCUAAAAAGAGUCGUCAUUGUUUUUGCUUCUCCGUAUCUGAAAUGAAUCAGAAAGACUUAAGUGUUCUCAAUUUCUCUUUGCUUUUUUUAAUUAUUUUUCUUGGUUUUUAUGUGUGAUUGCUACUUUCUCUUUCAUUUGCAGUCCUUCCCAAACAAAGACAUGUCGUUGAGGCUUAGCACUCAGACGAAGGUGAGAAAGAAGGGGUACAAGAGUGGCGUCGAUGUGGAGGAGGCACGCCGGCGGAGAGAGGACAAUUUGAUGGAGAUCAGAAAGAAAAUAAGAGAAGAUAAUUUGUUGAAGAAGAGACGUGAAGGUCUCUUGCUUCAGUCUCAACCACUUCUCGAUGCCUCUUAAAACGCCGCCACCGCCAUUGAAAAGAAGAGUUCUUCGAGCAUAUCGGGUUUCAUAGGUGGGCGUGAGGCGAGGCCAAAGAUAUCACACACCUUAAUAAUUCAUUCAAUCGCCCAUGGAUUCCAAUUCACAGCAGCCACCAGGUACUGAAACCUAGGAAGAGGUUAGUGAAGAAGGAUGGAUCAAUUGGGCUGGAGAAACUAUUAGCAACAAGGAUCGUUGCACAAUGUGUAAGGAUGAGAAGGUUGUUCAAGAGAAGAAGGUGUUGGAAUUAGUAGUUGAGAAGGGUAUGCAAAAUGGACAAAAGAUUACAUUCCCAGGAGAAACUGAUGAAGCUGUAAGUGAAUAAUUCAUUUUUAGUUUUAUUAGAUUUUGUUUGAUCUUAGAGAAAAUUGACUACCAAGGAAAGAAAAAUGGAACUUGGAGUUUUAUGUUAUUUUUCAUUCCGUUUUUAAGUAAUGUCGAUACGGCGGUUGAAAGAUAUGCGUUUUUAGUUUUGUGAAAUAUGUUUUUCUUGCAAAGAAAAUUGAGGAAUACAGCUUAGGGAAAAGAUAUGUACUGAAAAUACAUACUUUUUUUUCUCAAGUUUCUUAGCCGCCAAACAGAGUUGAGAAUUAACUUUUUCAGUAAUUAAUUAUUUGAUCCGCAUAAUUGUAAACUAAUUAUUACGUAAUUUGCAAGAAUAUGUAUACAGCAGGCUCUAAUUCAAGUAUACUUUGCAUAUAAGUACUGUUGUAUUUGGUAACAUUUUAAUGAUUUUCUUUAAGUAUUUGUCAAUUUGUGAUCUGGAAUAUCAAGGAUUAGUUUGUAAAUUUUGAUCCAUGGAUACCUUUUAUUUUCCCAAUUAUGGUUGGUACUUCACAUUUGUUCAAGGAUUCGUCUAUAACGUUCUCAUUUAUCUUCAAGGUUUCACCACUAAAUAGAUGGUGAAUCCAUGGAAGACUUGUGUGAAGCUAUCUGCAGUUUUAAUGGGUUCUCAUGGACUUACCAAAGGGUCUUUGACUUUUCUUAACUAUCCAGCACAGCUCAUGUUCAAAUCCACAAAGGUAUAGAGAACUGGGUUUCUCAAAUUUUCACCUUCUGUGGUUUUAAGUUUCAGAAUUAUAUUAAUUUGAGCUAGAAAGGCCUGAUUUUCAGUCCAUAGACUCAUCAAAUUCAAUUCCAAGUCUUGCAAAUUUCACAGUGAAUAGUGGGCUUCUUGAGCUUUUGGCAUUGAACGGAGGUGCGAUUACACAUUUUUCUUGGUCUUUAUACAUAUGGGUUGGCUGUGGCAAUUGCAGAAACAGGUCUUUUAGCGAAACUGACAUUUUUACAAAGCAGGAGAAGUGUAUCUAAAUGGUGUCCAGAAUUCAUGGUUGUUAACAAUUCAAGACUGGGGUUAGCCUUGCUCAAUGGUAUUAUAAUAUUGGUGGUUAUUUGACCCGAGUACCAUGUUCGCCAAACUAAACUCAAGUACUCAAAUUCUGGGGCUUCUCUUCUUGCUGAAAGAAGAGAAAAUGAUAGAUCGAGAUAAUAAGAUUGAAUUGUAGAAGUUAGAUUGAUAUAUACAUGUUUUCUGUGCUAAAGUUGUUCAUUUGUUUUUUUACAGUUAAGUUGAUAGAUAUAUUGCUUAAAAUUUUUGG